GAAAGACUGUAACAAAGGAAGGACAACUAAUUCAGACACCCUAGGAAUAAAGGUUUGGAUCAACCAUACCAAAAAAAGAAUCCUGACCAGCGGAGAUCCUGGAUGGGAUUGAAACUGAAUUAGAAGAGUCAACACAGCUCAGAGAUUGACAGUGACUCUUUUGUGAUACCAGCGACAGAACUCUGCAAACAUCUCUGCUUCGCAGCUGGCAUCCUGUUGGAUUUUUCCAGUAGAGGGAAGCUUCCAUGCUGCAGGAAGAAGGGGCGUGCUCCUUCCCGUUCCUGUCAGCACUGCUGCAGCAGUUUGCUCUCACAGCUGCAUGUGAUCCCAGCUGCCAUUUCUGACCUGCUCAGAACCAGCUUCAUGAUGGGCUCAAAGACCCAGGACCAGGUGCUCUUGUGACUUCUCUGACUUCAGUCCUUCUGGAGUCAGAUCACCCAGCUUCUCUGAUGAGUGACUGGUCAUUUUUAAAGCAUGCCUGCAGCAGUCUUCAAGAGGUUUCUGCCUGGGCAUCACAAUCAGCACACAUUUGCUCAUACACAUACCAGCUCUGGCAUGUACACGUGGCCACGGUACCCUUCGUACAACACGGGAAGAGAACAACAGGACGCCCAAGAGGCAUCUGGACAGCACACAGCAAACAGAAAGGCUGAACGCCCCCCCAUGGAACCCCAUUAAAAAACAAUGUUUGUCUAUUACAAAGUCACGUUUUCCGUUUUUCCGCUUUAUAAAGUCAGCGAUGCUGGAGGGUGUCUAGCGGAAUCCGUCCUCCAGGAAUGAGUGCAAAAGGAGAGCGCACGGCUCAGGGACGUCCCUUCAGUGAGCAAUGGAAGGACUGGCUGGAGGCCUCCCAUCCAUUUCGGACAAACACACACAUACAGAAAAGGAUUAUUGCCAGCUUGUG
rnacentral:lncRNA from 10 species